rnacentral:rRNA from 1 species
AGCGAACGCUGGCGGCAGGCCUAACACAUGCAAGUCGAACGAAGUCUUCGGACUUAGUGGCGGACGGGUGAGUAACACGUGGGAACGUGCCUUUAGGUUCGGAAUAACUCAGGGAAACUUGGGACAAUACCGUAUGUGACCUGAGGGUGAAAGAUUUAUCGCCUUUGGAUGGGCCCGCGUCGGAUUAGGUAGUUGGUGGGGUAAAGGCCUACCAAGCCGACGAUCCGUAGCUGGUCUGAGAGGAUGAUCAGCCACAUUGGGACUGAGACACGGCCCAAACUCCUACGGGAGGCAGCAGUGGGGAAUCUUGCGCAAUGGGCGAAAGCCUGACGCAGCCAUGCCGCGUGGAUGAUGAAGGUCUUAGGAUUGUAAAAUCCUUUCACCGGUGAAGAUAAUGACUGUAGCCGGAGAAGAAGCCCCGGCUAACUUCGUGCCAGCCGCCGCGGUAACAC